GGGAUUUAAAGGAAACGCAGGCGGCCAGGAGGAACUGGAGCUGCCAUGUAGAAAGACCAUGUAGAGAGAGAGAGGGGGCCCAGUCUUUCAGUUGUUCCUGCCAAGGUGCCAGAUAUUGGAGUAAAGCCAUCCCGGACUGCCUGACUGUACCCACAUGAGACCCCAAGAGAGGUAAAUAUGAACAACUGUGAACCUUCUUUUGCCCACCGUUGUAUUUGGCCCUGGACCUCAGCUUUGCCUCUGGAUGUAAGCCCACAC